rnacentral:piRNA from 1 species
UGUCCCCGACAGUAGACGGCAGGUACUC